rnacentral:tRNA from 3 species
GGGGUACUAGCUCAUCUGGCAGAGCGCCUGCCUUGCACGCAGGAUGGCGGGGUUCAAGUCCUCGGUACUCCACCA